rnacentral:tRNA from 1 species
GCGCCCGUAGCUCAGUGGAUAGAGCACUGGCUUCCGGUGCCAGGUGUCGGGGGUUCGAAUCCCUUCGGGCGCA